GUAAGGUGCCACCCAGUUAGUUCCCUCUUCUGGAUUACAGGAAUUGCUCUCUUACCUGCUGGGAAUGAUGUUGGAAGAAGGCCAUCAGCUAGCAGCCCUUUUUGGGGACUGUGUCAAACUCCCUGCCCUGAGCAGCCCACAGCCACUGGCUGAGCGCCAUGGGUGCGAAGGCCCGGGUGAUCUUCGCAGCACCGUCUGGCUCUGGAGCUCCUGUGGGAUCGCCCGAGGCUGUUGGGGGGUUGGGAUUGCAGCGCUGGUCAAUUUCUCUGCUACCUACUCCUCACUUCCAUAGGUGUUGAUGCCAAGAGCAUGCCCAAAGGAACCCUCCAUCUCAGAGGGUGCUGCCUGGGAAACUCAAGCUGUGAAAUCCGCCCAGAAGUCCAUGUCUUGAUUGCAAUGGCAUACUGACAAUUGAGCAGGCCGUGGUCUGCUUUUAAACAAAGGAAAAGAUGAAACAGAUGCGCUAGAACGUCCGAAACAGCUGUUGCCAUGGAAGAUGCUUCUUUUGAAUUUUACAUGAGGACGUUUACUCCCUCCUCGACAUUGCAAAGUACAGGAGUGACUGAGCUUCAACUGUGGAUGCCCUGAAGGCAGCUGCAGCAGGCCUGGUGCCAGCAGAGGACACAUCCCUGAGUCCAAAGCCACCUGUCCACCAGAAAUGUACCAACUCGUCUUCCAGAUGCUGGCCUUAGUCUCAACCUGAUGCUCUUGGGCUUAAGCGGAUAAACUGCCCCUAUCAGGUAGGAACAGUUAGAAGUCAGAGACAAUGAAAACACACAGGGCUCAAGUGUUUUGCACCAAGCAGUGUUUACAGGAACAGGAAAGCUGGUGAGUCAUCUUCUGUUUUUAAAUGGGUACUACCAAGGAUUCCUAUGUGCACAUCGCCAC